UGGGGAAUAUUGCACAAUGGGCGCAAGCCUGAUGCAGCCAUGCCGCGUGUGUGAAGAAGGCCUUCGGGUUGUAAAGCACUUUCAGCGAGGAGGAAGGUGGUGAACUUAAUACGUUCAUCAAUUGACGUUACUCGCAGAAGAAGCACCGGCUAACUCCGUGCAGCAGCCGCGGUAAUACGGAGGGUGCAAGCGUUAAUCGGAAUUACUGGGCGUAAAGCGCACGCAGGCGGUUUGUUAAGUCAGAUGUGAAAUCCCCGGGCUCAACCUGGGAACUGCAUUUGAAACUGGGCAAGCUAUGAGUCUCGUAGAGGGGGUUAGAAUUCCAGGGUGUAGCGGU
rnacentral:rRNA from 1 species